CCUACGGGGGGCAGCAGUGAGGAAUAUUGGUCAAUGGCCGCAAGGCUGAACCAGCCAAGCCGCGUGAAGGACGAAGGCGCUAAGCAUUGUAAACUUCUUUUGUCAAGGGACAAAGUGAGGCGCGAGUGCCUUUUCGAGUGUACUUGAAGAAAAAGCAUCGGCUAACUCCGGGCCAGCAGCCGCGGUAAUAUGGAGGGAUCGAGCGUUAACCGGAUUUAUUGGGGUUAAAGGGAUCGUAGCUGGGUCGUUAAGUCAGGUGUAAAAGUCCCGGGCUUAACCCCCGCCGGGCCGUUGAUACUGGCAGUCUUGAGAUGUCGAGAGGUAUGCGGAAUGCGCGGUGUAGCGGUGAAAUGCUUAGAUAUUGCGAAGAACUCCGAUUGCGAAGGCAGCAUAC
rnacentral:rRNA from 1 species